GAGGCUUUAGAAUAUCGAGGAUGCCUAGUUCAUUGAAAGGAUGGAAAGAAAAGUGGUUUUAUGUCGUACCUCAGGAUAGUGACCUUCCUUUUAGUCCUACGUGGGUUCUGCCCGACACUCCCAGGUUUUGUGAAGGCCAGGCCUAUUUUGAGUCUUUAGAAAGGCAUAGGAUGAUGUUAGAGAACCUUAAGCCUCUUGUAUAUG
rnacentral:lncRNA from 1 species